UACGGAGGGUGCAAACGUUGCUCGGAAUCAUUGGGCGUAAAGCGCACGUAGGCGGCCUGUUAAGUCGGGUGUGAAAGCCCUGGGCUCAACCCAGGAAGUGCACUCGAAACUGGCGGGCUUGAAUAUGGAAGAGGGUCGCGGAAUUCCCGGUGUAGAGGUGAAAUUCGUAGAUAUCGGGAGGAACACCAGUGGCGAAGGCGGCGACCUGGGCCAAUAUUGACGCUGAGGUGCGAAAGCCAGGGGAGCGAACGGG
rnacentral:rRNA from 1 species